rnacentral:rRNA from 1 species
GACGAACGCUGGCGGCGUGCUUAACACAUGCAAGUUGAACGGUUCAAUCCAAGCAGCAAUGUGAGGGUUGGAUAGUAGCGGACGGGUGAGUAACGCGUGAGCAACCUACCUUUGUGAGGGGGACAACAGCUGGAAACGGCUGCUAAUACCGCAUAAGGCCACGGCCCUGAGUGGGGCAGUGGUAAAAGAUUUAUCGCACAAAGAUGGGCUCGCGUCCCAUUAGCUAGUUGGUGAGGUAACGGCCCACCAAGGCGACGAUGGGUAGCCGACCUGAGAGGGUGGUCGGCCACACUGGAACGGAGACACGGUCCAGACUCCUACGGGAGGCAGCGGUGGGGAAUAUUGGGCAAUGGGCGCAAGCCUGACCCAGCAACGCCGCGUGAGGGAAGAAGGCCUUCGGGUUGUAAACCUCUGUCCUUGGGGACGAAAAAAAUGACGGUACCCAAGGAGGAAGCUCCGGCUAACUACGUGCCAGCCGCCGCAGUAACAC